rnacentral:hammerhead_ribozyme from 1 species
GACGAGUCCCAAAUAGGACGGAACGCGCGUC